AUUGAACGCUGGCGGAAUGCUUUACACAUGCAAGUCGAACGGCAGCACGGACUUCGGUCUGGUGGCGAGUGGCGAACGGGUGAGUAAUGUAUCGGAACGUGCCCAGUCGUGGGGGAUAACGUAGUGAAAAUUACGCUAAUACCGCAUACGAUCUAUGGAUGAAAGCGGGGGAUCGCAAGACCUCGCGCGAUUGGAGCGGCCGAUAUCAGAUUAGGUAGUUGGUGGGGUAAAGGCCCACCAAGCCAACGAUCUGUAGCUGGUCUGAGAGGACGACCGGCCACACUGGAACUGAGACACGGUCCAGACUCCUACGGGAGGCAGCAGUGGGGAAUUUUGGACAAUGGGCGCAAGCCUGAUCCAGCCAUUCCGCGUGCAGGAUGAGGGCCCUCGGGUUGUAAACUGCUUUUGUACAGAACGAAAAGGUUUCUACUAAUACUAGGAGCUCAUGACGGUACUGUAAGAAUAAGCACCGGCUAACUACGUGCCAGCCGCCGCGGUAA
rnacentral:rRNA from 1 species